UAUACCCACACUAAAGUUAAAACUUAACUAAGCCGUAAAAAGCUACAGUUACCAUAAAAUAUACUACGAAAGUGACUUUAAUAUAUUCUGACUACACGAUAGCUAAGACCCAAACUGGGAUUAGAUACCCCACUAUGCUUAGCCCUAAACAUAAACAGUUCUAUAAAACAAAAUAGUUCGCCAGAGAACUACUAGCAACAGCUUAAAACUCAAAGGACUUGGCGGUGCUUUACAUCCCUCUAGAGGAGCCUGUUCUAUAAUCGAUAAACCCCGAUAGACCUCACCAUUCCUUGCUAAUACAGUCUAUAUACCGCCAUCUUCAGCAAACCCUUAAAAGGUAAAGUAGUAAGCACGAUCACUUCACGCAAAAAAGUUAGGUCAAGGUGUAACCCAUGGGAUGGGAAGAAAUGGGCUACAUUUUCUACUCCAAGAAUACUUCACGGAAGUUUUUAUGAAACUAAAAACUGAAGGAGGAUUUAGUAGUAAGUUAAGAAUAGAGAG
rnacentral:rRNA from 1 species